AGAUGUCAAAUGUAUGGAAUUAUGUCACAUGUUUUUACUGUAACGUUUCAAAUACUUCCGAGGAGUUAAAGAUACUUAACAUGUUUCAAAUUCAGAAGAACGGGAACAAUGGCAUAACUUGUAAAAAGUUCUUCGUAUUGAAUAAGGCUUUUAUUUUAAAAUUUGUCAACUUCGUAAUAAUUCAAGUGUGGGUAUUAAAACAGAUUAGUGAAAAUUUAUGAAAAUUGAUUUUUAAUAAAGGAAACAUCGGACAUUGCAAUACAG